GAAUAUUGGACAAUGGGGGGAACCCUGAUCCAGCCAUGCCGCGUGUGUGAAGAAGGCCUUUUGGUUGUAAAGCACUUUAAGCGAGGAGGAGGAGCUCUUGGUUAAUACCCAAGAUGCUUGGACGUUACUCGCAGAAUAAGCACCGGCUAACUCUGUGCCAGCAGCCGCGGUAAUACAGAGGGGGCAAGCGUUAAUCGGAUUUACUGGGCGUAAAGCGCGCGUAGGUGGCCAAUUAAGUCAAAUGUGAAAUCCCCGAGCUUAACUUGGGAAUUGCAUUCGAUACUGGUUGGCUAGAGUAUGGGAGAGGAUGGUAGAAUUCCAGGUGUAGCGGAGAAAUGCGUAGAGAUCUGGAGGAAUACCGAUGGCGAAGGCAACCCCCUGGGCCUGUACUGACGCUCAUGCACGAAAGCGUGGGGAGCAAACAG
rnacentral:rRNA from 1 species